rnacentral:tRNA from 4 species
GGGGAGUUAAUUUAACGGAUAGAAUUUACGAUUCCUAAUCGUAGCGUGGAUAAGGGUUCGAUUCCCCCACUCCCCA